AGUGAACGCUGGCGGUAGGCCUAACACAUGCAAGUCGAACGGCAGCACAGUAAGAGCUUGCUCUUACGGGUGGCGAGUGGGGGACGGGUGAGGAAUACAUCGGAAUCUACUUUUUCGUGGGGGAUAACGUAGGGAAACUUACGCUAAUACCGCAUACGACCUACGGGUGAAAGCAGGGGAUCUUCGGACCUUGCGCGAUUGAAUGAGCCGAUGUCGGAUUAGCUAGUUGGCGGGGUAAAGGCCCACCAAGGCGACGAUCCGUAGCUGGUCUGAGAGGAUGAUCAGCCACACUGGAACUGAGACACGGUCCAGACUCCUACGGGAGGCGGCAGUGGGGAAUAUUGGACAAUGGGCGCAAGCCUGAUCCAGCCAUACCGCGUGGGUGAAGAAGGCCUUCGGGUUGUAAAGCCCUUUUGUUGGGAAAGAAAAGCAGCAGGUUAAUACCCCGCUGUUCUGACGGUACCCAAAGAAUAAGCACCGGCUAACUUCGU
rnacentral:rRNA from 1 species